AGGGUGGAAAAAACGGGGAUUCUUCGGGGGGUGAGGACUGAAAGGUGAAAUUGGGAAGUGGGGAUCACAGGGGGCGGGGACCAAAGUAGGGCUGGGAACCCAGCGGAGGCAGUAGCCGAGGUCUUCCUCCGAAACGGCGCCUCUCCUAAAACUCCGGGCCUUGACAAUCCUGAAUGCGGGGCCAAGACCCGGGAGGGGGAAUUGGGAGGCGAGCCCAGUCAGGAGUAACCUGAGCAGGGGUUCUGAAAAUGGCUUGGCACCAGGCAUGGGGUGCCGGAAGGUCCUGGGAUACCCGAGAGGGCCCUGCCUCAGCUCCGGCUCCCGGAGUCUCCUUCACUCACCAUCGCCGCCGCCAUCUUGGAUCCACGUGUCGCCGUGAUGACGUCAGCGGAAGUGGUGCUUCCCUGGUUACGGACUUCGAGUCCUCGAGCCACUUCUUGACCCUGGUGAGAGCCGCAGCUUCUCCCUAGGACCGCCUCCCCAGCCAGCUGUCACCUCCACCCCAGGAGAAGCCUUCCUUGGUUCCUGAUCUGAUCACCGACGUCUGAGUGGGCAUCUGCUGGACCGAGAGCCUAAGGCUUGAGACUUCUGAUCUGACACUUGAGCUUAGCACGCAGAGGGAAUGUCUGUCGUGAGCCUGUCAUGAUUAAGCGUUUGCAGUGCUUAGAAUCAAUCUAGAAUUGUUUGCUGUGAAUUGAUGAUGUCUGUUGCAGUGUCCAGCAUUGAGCAUUGUCAUUUUCUUGAUUAAGAACGUAGAGUGAAAUUGUAUUGAGUGAUCUGAGUGAAUAAAGCAUUGACUAGGACAGAA